GGGUUUGCGAUGAUAAUAAAUCAAUUCCUCGUACUGAAUGUCAAUAUUGGCAUGAAAGACUCUUCUAUACACCCAUAGAAUCUGAGCAUUC